GCGAGAAUAUUCGACAAUGGACGAAAGUCUGGUCGAGCGACGCCGCGUGUACGAUGAAGUUUUUCGGAAUGUAAAGUACUUUUAUGAGGGAAGAACGUUGACGGUACCUCAUGAAUAAGUGGUUGCUAACUCUGUGCCAGCAGCAGCGGUAAUACAGAGACCACAAGCGUUAUCCGGAAUUAUUGGGCGUAAAGGGUGAGUAGGUGGUAUCGUUAGUCGGGUUUGAAAGAUCGUGGGCUCAACCCAUGAUAUGGACCCGAAACGGCAAAACUAGAAUAUGUAAGAGGUUAGUGGAACUAUAUGUGUAGGGGUAAAAUCCGUUGAUAUAUAUGGGAACACCUAAAGCGAAGGCAGCUAACUGGUACAUUAUUGACACUGAAUCACGAAAGCGUGGGUAGCGAUACGGAUUAGAUACCCACGUAGUCCCUGAGCGGGCUGGCAAGGCGCAU
rnacentral:rRNA from 1 species